AAGAAAGAAUUGCAAGAACUGCUAAAUCAUGCACCCACGUAUAAAACCGCGGCUUUCUUA
rnacentral:tRNA from 1 species